UACGGGGGGGGCAAGCGUUGUUCGGAAUUACUGGGCGUAAAGGGCUCGUAGGCGGCCAACUAAGUCGGAUGUGAAAUCCCCAGGCUUAACCUGGGAACUGCAUCCGAUACUGGAUGGCUUGAAUCCGGGAGAGGGAUGCAGAAUUCCAGGUGUAGCGGUGAAAUGCGUAGAUAUCUGGAGGAAUACCGGUGGCGAAGGCGGCAUCCUGGACCGGCAUUGACGCUGAGGUGCGCAAAGC
rnacentral:rRNA from 1 species